AUACGGAGGAUCCGAGCGUUAUCCGGAUUUAUUGGGUUUAAAGGGUGCGCAGGCGGCCAUUUAAGUCAGCGGUUAAAUCGUGGGGCUCAACCCCAUUCUGCCGUUGAUACUGGGUGGCUUGAUUGCGGUCGAGGUUGGCGGAAUUCGUUGUGUAGCGGUGAAAUGCAUAGAUAUGACGAAGAACACCGAUUGCGUAGGCAGCUGACCAGACCGCAAAUGACGCUCAUGCACGAAAGUGCGGGGAUCGAACAGGAUUAGAUACUGUGGUAGUCCGCACAGUAAACGGUGAAUACUUGUUUUCGGCUAUAUAAUGUCGGAGGCACAGCGAAAGCGAUAAGUCUUCCACCUGGGGAGUACGCCGGCAACGGUGAAACUUAAAGGAAUUGACGGUG
rnacentral:rRNA from 1 species